rnacentral:ncRNA from 1 species
GGACCCGAUGCCACGUACGGGGCUCGUCGACGGCGCGAUUCUUCGCGCCGAGAUGCAGGAGCCCGCGAUGGGAUCACCUCCGGGAGGAGUACAUCCGUG